rnacentral:misc_RNA from 1 species
AACGCACCUUGCGCCCUUUGGUAUUCCGAAGGGCAUGCCUGUUUGAGUGUCAUUAAAUUCUCAAACCUCUUAGUGUUUAUUCAUUUCGAGGCUUUGGAUUGUGAGGGGUUUUUGCUGGCUUCCUUCAGUGGAUGGUCUGCUCCCUUUAAAAGUAUUAGUGGGAUCCAGUACCACCUUGGUUGUGAUAAUUAUCUACGAUCGAGCUCUGGUAUGGGUUUAGGAACCUGCUUAUAACCGUCUUUUUUGCGAGACAACUUUUUUUUAUUGACUUGACCUCAAAUCAGGUAGGACUACCCGCUGAACUUAA